rnacentral:rRNA from 1 species
UCCCAGCAGUCCAAGUCGCAAUCACAAUUAUUGGGUCUAAAACAUCCGUAGCUUGCUUUGUAAGUCUCUUGUGAAAUCCGGCCUCUUAAGGGUCGAAGUGCGAGAGAUACUGCUUAGCUGGAGACCGGGAGAAGUAAGAAGUACAAACGGGGUAGCGGUAAAAUGUGUUGAUCCUGUUUGGACUAACAACAGCGAAGGCAUCUUACUAGAACGGAUCUGACAGUGAGGGAUGAAGGCUAGGGGCGCAAAAGGG